rnacentral:lncRNA from 1 species
AAUUAGGAUAUUCUUCUCUGGGCUCUCAGGUCCCUGGAGGUCUCAGGGACAUUGGUGCCAUGUUCAGUGUCUAAAAGUAACACUGAACAAUGCAGUUUACUUACAUCUUUUUCUGUUUGACACAAGACAGUUAUUGGAAGCUGCUGACUCACCCUUUUCUUGACAAGUCCUUCUGGGUAGUCUUCCUGGGUAGCACAUCUAAAAUGAACCCCAAACUGUCACACUUUCUGUCUCUUCCUGUCUGCCACAUCUAGAAUCACAAUAAAGAGGAUGCCACUGGAACCUGAAAGGAAGUAGCGUGUACGACUGGGGACACGUUUCCUGGAAGCACACCCCAUUAGAUAAAGUGUCGUAUACUCUUUGAUAAAGUAAGGCUCCUGGACGAGAUGUUUUACAGGUACCCUGAGCUCAGUGAAAUGCUUUCGGAAAGACACUCAGCAGAGUGGGCACCACAAGGUUAGGAGAAGCAGCUUCUGCUCGUCAUAACUUCGGCAAAUGUUUACACAUCAGUAAUGAAAAAUAUUCUCUUGGCGAUUUCAGGCUUGUUACUAUGGAUGUUGUUUGCUAACAUUGACUAUUUUUCCUAACUGCUUAUAGAAACUCCAGGCUGUCACCCAUCUGUUCUCUCAUCAGAGUAGUUUUGGGCCAGCAACUAUUUCAGACAUUUCUACAAUUUCAGAUGUCUCACUCUGCCUAUGACUGUAUGUUGUACUUGAGGACCGGACGCACAGAGUUCCGUGCAAAUAGCAAGCAUUCAGCUCCAACUCUCCUCCUUGUGGUAACAAUAUGAAAGAAAGAGAUAGUAUCGGAAUUAUUUUAGUUCAAUACAGCCAUUGUAAAAUGUGUGUAUAUUUUAAAACAUCAUGUGGUACAUGAUAAAUAUAUACAACUUUUAUUUUUCAAUAAAAAAAUUAUAAAAAAUAUGUCAUCAAACCUGAUUUCUCAUAUUACUUUUUUGUUAACACUCAUCACAUGAAAGACUUAUUAUUUUAAAAUGUUAUUUUUCAUUAUUAAUUCUCAUUAAU